GACGUAGGGUGCAAGCGUUGUCCGGAUUUACUGGGCGUAAAGAGCGCGUAGGCGGUCUGUUAAGUGUAGAGUGAAAUCUCCAGGGCUCAACCCGGAAACUGCUCUGCAUACUGGCAGACUUGAGGGUCGGAAGAGGUUUAUGGAAUUCCUGGUGUAGCGGUGAAAUGACGUUGAUAUCAGGAGGAACGACCGGUGGCGAAGGGCGGGUCACUGGGGCAGUAACUGGACGCUGAGGAGCGAAAGCGUGGGGAGCGAACAG
rnacentral:rRNA from 1 species